UAUCUACUCUCUCUCUUCCAAAAUUCUUGUCUUACAUUUAUCUACAUAUGAAUGUAUCUAGUCAUGCUUUAGUAUUUAGAUACAUCUAUUUUUAGACAAACCUAAGACAAAAAAUUUGAGACGGAGGGAGUAAUAU
rnacentral:pre_miRNA from 1 species